rnacentral:rRNA from 1 species
GGCGAACGCUGGCGGCGUGCUUAACACAUGCAAGUCGAACGGAAAGGCCCUGCUUUUGUGGGGUGCUCGAGUGGCGAACGGGUGAGUAACACGUGAGUAACCUGCCCUUGACUUUGGGAUAACUUCAGGAAACUGGGGCUAAUACCGGAUAGGAGCUCCUGCUGCAUGGUGGGGGUUGGAAAGUUUCGGCGGUUGGGGAUGGACUCGCGGCUUAUCAGCUUGUUGGUGGGGUAGUGGCUUACCAAGGCUUUGACGGGUAGCCGGCCUGAGAGGGUGACCGGCCACAUUGGGACUGAGAUACGGCCCAGACUCCUACGGGAGGCAGCAGUGGGGAAUACUGCACAAUGGGCGGAAGCCUGAUGCAGCAACGCCGCGUGCGGGAUGACGGCCUUCGGGUUGUAAACCGCUUUCGCCUGUGACGAAGCGUGAGUGACGGUAAUGGGUAAAGAAGCACCGGCUAACUACGUG